rnacentral:rRNA from 1 species
CGCAUCUGUGCAUGCAGCAUAUCAAUAAGCGGAGGAAAAGAAACUAACAAGGAUUCCCCUAGUAACGGCGAGUGAAGCGGGAAGAGCUCAAAUUUGAAAUCUUAAAGGGUUUCCCUUUACGAAUUGUAGUUUAAAGAAGUGUUUUCUGUUGAGGUUUUGGUAAAAGUUCUUUGGAAUAGGACAUCAUAGAGGGUGAGAAUCCCGUAUUUGACCUUUACUUUCAACUUUGUGAUACACUUUCAAAGAGUCGGAUUGUUUGGGAAUGCAGUCCAAAAUGGGUGGUAAAUUUCAUCUAAAGCUAAAUAUUGGCGAGAGACCGAUAGCGAACAAGUACCGUGAGGGAAAGAUGAAAAGAACUUUGAAAAGAGAGUUAAACAGUACGUGAAAUUGUCAAAAGGGAAGCGUUUGACACCAGUGUUGUUUUUCUGAAAAUCAAUUAAAGAACUGUUUAUGCUAAGUUGUUUAGACUUUAUCAGCUAACUGUUUAGUUUUGAGCUUUUCUUUAAUGCACUUUUCAGUUAACAAGUCAACAUCAAUUUCUUUUGCUGUAAAAAGCUUGAGGAAGGUGGCUUGAGAUUCGUCUUAAGUGUUUAUAGCCUCUUGCCUAUGCAGUCGGAGAGAUUGAGGUCUGCAGCGUAGAUCCUUCGGGGCUAAAUGCAUUUGUGCUAAGUUAUAGCAUUUUAUAGACAACUUGUUGACUAUGAUUUGUCUUGUAGCUUACUCGCUUAUGUUAUUUUACCUACGCUUAGGAUGUUGACAGCAGUAUAGACUGU